rnacentral:rRNA from 1 species
GGGUUGUGAGGUUAAGCGACUAAGCGUACACGGUGGAUGCCCUGGCAGUCAGAGGCGAUGAAGGACGUGCUAAUCUGCGAAAAGCGCCGGCGAGGUGAUAUGAACCUUUGACCCGGCGAUGUCCGAAUGGGGAAACCCAGUGUGUUCCGACACACUAUCGUUAACUGAAUACAUAGGUUAACGAGGCGAACCGGGGGAACUGAAACAUCUAAGUACCCCGAGGAAAAGAAAUCAACCGAGAUUCCCCCAGUAGCGGCGAGCGAACGGGGAGCAGCCCAGAGUCUGAAUCAGCUUGUGUGUUAGUGGAAGCGUCUGGAAAGUCGCACGGUACAGGGUGACAGUCCCGUACACGAAAGCACACAGGCUGUGAACUCGAAGAGUAGGGCGGGACACGUGGUAUCCUGUCUGAAUAUGGGGGGACCAUCCUCCAAGGCUAAAUACUCCUGACUGACCGAUAGUGAACCAGUACCGUGAGGGAAAGGCGAAAAGAACCCCGGCGAGGGGAGUGAAAAAGAACCUGAAACCGUGUACGUACAAGCAGUGGGAGCCUCUUUUAUGGGGUGACUGCGUACCUUUUGUAUAAUGGGUCAGCGACUUAUAUUCUGUAGCAAGGUUAACCGUAUAGGGGAGCCGAAGGGAAACCGAGUCUUAACUGGGCGUUAAGUUGCAGGGUAUAGACCCGAAACCCGGUGAUCUAGCCAUGGGCAGGUUGAAGGUUGGGUAACACUAACUGGAGGACCGAACCGACUAAUGUUGAAAAAUUAGCGGAUGACUUGUGGCUGGGGGUGAAAGGCCAAUCAAACCGGGAGAUAGCUGGUUCUCCCCGAAAGCUAUUUAGGUAGCGCCUCGUGAAUUCAUCUUCGGGGGUAGAGCACUGUUUCGGCUAGGGGGCCAUCCCGGCUUACCAACCCGAUGCAAACUACGAAUACCGAAGAAUGUUAUCACGGGAGACACACGGCGGGUGCUAACGUCCGUCGUGAAGAGGGAAACAACCCAGACCGCCAGCUAAGGUCCCAAAGUCAUGGUUAAGUGGGAAACGAUGUGGGAAGGCACAGACAGCCAGGAUGUUGGCUUAGAAGCAGCCAUCAUUUAAAGAAAGCGUAAUAGCUCACUGGUCGAGUCGGCCUGCGCGGAAGAUGUAACGGGGCUAAACCAUGCACCGAAGCUGCGGCAGCGACACUAUGUGUUGUUGGGUAGGGGAGCGUUCUGUAAGCCGUUGAAGGUGUCCUGUGAGGGGUGCUGGAGGUAUCAGAAGUGCGAAUGCUGACAUAAGUAACGAUAAAGCGGGUGAAAAGCCCGCUCGCCGGAAGACCAAGGGUUCCUGUCCAACGUUAAUCGGGGCAGGGUGAGUCGACCCCUAAGGCGAGGCCGAAAGGCGUAGUCGAUGGGAAACAGGUUAAUAUUCCUGUACUUGGUGUUACUGCGAAGGGGGGACGGAGAAGGCUAUGUUAGCCGGGCGACGGUUGUCCCGGUUUAAGCAUGUAGGCGGAGGUUCCAGGUAAAUCCGGUUCCUUGUUAACGCUGAGGUGUGAUGACGAGGCACUACGGUGCUGAAGUAACAAAUGCCCUGCUUCCAGGAAAAGCCUCUAAGCAUCAGGUAACAUCAAAUCGUACCCCAAACCGACACAGGUGGUCAGGUAGAGAAUACCAAGGCGCUUGAGAGAACUCGGGUGAAGGAACUAGGCAAAAUGGUGCCGUAACUUCGGGAGAAGGCACGCUGAUAUGUAGGUGAAGCCCCUGCGGGUGGAGCUGAAAUCAGUCGAAGAUACCAGCUGGCUGCAACUGUUUAUUAAAAACACAGCACUGUGCAAACACGAAAGUGGACGUAUACGGUGUGACGCCUGCCCGGUGCCGGAAGGUUAAUUGAUGGGGUUAGCGGUAACGCGAAGCUCUUGAUCGAAGCCCCGGUAAACGGCGGCCGUAACUAUAACGGUCCUAAGGUAGCGAAAUUCCUUGUCGGGUAAGUUCCGACCUGCACGAAUGGCGUAAUGAUGGCCAGGCUGUCUCCACCCGAGACUCAGUGAAAUUGAACUCGCUGUGAAGAUGCAGUGUACCCGCGGCAAGACGGAAAGACCCCGUGAACCUUUACUAUAGCUUGACACUGAACACUGGUCCUUGAUGUGUAGGAUAGGUGGGAGGCUUUGAAGCGUGGACGCCAGUCUGCGUGGAGCCAACCUUGAAAUACCACCCUUUAAUGGCUGGUGUUCUAACGUAGACCCGUGAUCCGGGUUGCGGACAGUGUCUGGUGGGUAGUUUGACUGGGGCGGUCUCCUCCCAAAGAGUAACGGAGGAGCACGAAGGUUAGCUAAUCCUGGUCGGACAUCAGGAGGUUAGUGCAAUGGCAUAAGCUAGCUUGACUGCGAGAGUGACGGCUCGAGCAGGUGCGAAAGCAGGUCAUAGUGAUCCGGUGGUUCUGAAUGGAAGGGCCAUCGCUCAACGGAUAAAAGGUACUCCGGGGAUAACAGGCUGAUACCGCCCAAGAGUUCAUAUCGACGGCGGUGUUUGGCACCUCGAUGUCGGCUCAUCACAUCCUGGGGCUGAAGUAGGUCCCAAGGGUAUGGCUGUUCGCCAUUUAAAGUGGUACGCGAGCUGGGUUUAGAACGUCGUGAGACAGUUCGGUCCCUAUCUGCCGUGGGCGCUGGAGAAUUGAGGGGGGCUGCUCCUAGUACGAGAGGACCGGAGUGGACGCAUCACUGGUGUUCGGGUUGUCAUGCCAAUGGCACUGCCCGGUAGCUAAAUGCGGAAGAGAUAAGUGCUGAAAGCAUCUAAGCACGAAACUUGCCCCGAGAUGAGUUCUCCCUGAGACUUUAAGUCUCCUGAAGGAACGUUGAAGACUACGACGUUGAUAGGUCGGGUGUGUAAGCGCAGCGAUGCGUUGAGCUAACCGAUACUAAUGAACCGUGAGGCUUAACCUUACAACGCCGAAG